AGAGUUUGAUCCUGGCUCAGGAUGAACGCUGGCGGCGUGCUUAACACAUGCAAGUCGAACGAACCUUCGGGUUAGUGGCGGACGGGUGAGAAACGCGUGAGAAUCUGCCCUCAGGAGGGGGAUAACGGCUGGAAACGGCCGCUAAUACCCCAUAUGCCGAGAGGUGAAACGAGUUUUCGCCUGAGGAUGAGCUCGCGUCUGAUUAGCUAGUUGGUGGGGUAAGAGCCUACCAAGGCAUCGAUCAGUAGCUGGUCUGAGAGGAUGAUCAGCCACACUGGGACUGAGACACGGCCCAGACUCCUACGGGAGGCAGCAGUGGGGAAUUUUCCGCAAUGGGCGAAAGCCUGACGGAGCAACGCCGCGUGAGGGAUGAAGGCCUCUGGGCUGUAAACCUCUUUUAUCAAGGAAGAAGAUCUGACGGUACUUGAUGAAUAAGCCACGGCUAAUUCCGUGCCAGCAGCCGCGGUAAUACGGGAGUGGCAAGCGUUAUCCGGAAUUAUUGGGCGUAAAGCGUCCGCAGGCGGCCUGAUAAGUCUGUUGUCAAAGCGUGGAGCUCAACUCCAUUUCGGCAAUGGAAACUGUGAGGCUUGAGUGUGGUAGGGGCAGAGGGAAUUCCCGGUGUAGCGGUGAAAUGCGUAGAUAUCGGGAAGAACACCAGUGGCGAAGGCGCUCUGCUGGGCCAUAACUGACGCUCAUGGACGAAAGCCAGGGGAGCGAAAGGGAUUAGAUACCCCUGUAGUCCUGGCCGUAAACGAUGAACACUAGGUGUCGGGGGAAUCGACCCCCUCGGUGUCGUAGCCAACGCGUUAAGUGUUCCGCCUGGGGAGUACGCACGCAAGUGUGAAACUCAAAGGAAUUGACGGGGGCCCGCACAAGCGGUGGAGUAUGUGGUUUAAUUCGAUGCAACGCGAAGAACCUUACCAGGGUUUGACAUCCUGCGAAUCCCUUGGAAACGAGGGAGUGCCUUCGGGAGCGCAGAGACAGGUGGUGCAUGGCUGUCGUCAGCUCGUGUCGUGAGAUGUUGGGUUAAGUCCCGCAACGAGCGCAACCCACGUCUUUAGUUGCCAGCAUUGAGUUGGGCACUCUAGAGAGACCGCCGGUGAUAAACCGGAGGAAGGUGUGGAUGACGUCAAGUCAUCAUGCCCCUUACAUCCUGGGCUACACACGUACUACAAUGCUACGGACAAAGGGCAGCAAACUCGCGAGAGCUAGCAAAUCCCAUAAACCGUGGCUCAGUUCAGAUCGUAGGCUGCAACUCGCCUACGUGAAGGAGGAAUCGCUAGUAAUCGCAGGGCAGCAUACUGCGGUGAAUACGUUCCCGGGCCUUGUACACACCGCCCGUCACACCAUGGAAGUUGGCCACGCCCGAAGCCGUUACUCCAACCCUUGUGGAGGAGGACGUCGAAGGUGGGGCUGAUGACUGGGGUGAAGUCGUAACAAGGUA
rnacentral:rRNA from 1 species